CCCGCGAGGGUUGGUCCAGAGGAAGCCGGAAGCAAAACUGCGAGCUGAUGAACAAGAACAUCAUAUGAGGCGUAGGCUGGAGGCGAGUUGGCACAAGACGACCAAGCCAUGUGUUCUAACGGCCACCGUAAAUGAUGCAGUUGCGCAGGGAAAGUUCA
rnacentral:ncRNA from 1 species